rnacentral:tRNA from 1 species
GGCUGUAGCUCAGUGGCAGAGCACUUGCCUAGCAUGUGCAAGGCCCUGGGUUCCAUUCCCAGCACUGCCA